rnacentral:rRNA from 1 species
UACGGAGGGUGCAAGCGUUAUCCGGAUUCACUGGGUUUAAAGGGUGCGUAGGUGGGCAGGUAAGUCAGUGGUGAAAUCUCCGGGCUUAACCCGGAAACUGCCGUUGAUACUAUCUGUCUUGAAUAUAGUGGAGGUGAGCGGAAUAUGUCAUGUAACGGUGAAAUGCUUAGAUAUGACAUAGAACAUCGAUUGCGAAGGCAGCUCGCUACGCUAUUAUUGACACUGAGGCACGAAAGCGUGGGGAUCAAACAGG